AACGUCUUGGUCCUAGACUUAGCGUUACUUGACUCUAACCUUACACAUGCCAGUAUCCGCACCCCAGUGCCCAAGCCCACACCCUGCCACGGAGCCGGCAUCAGGCACACCCUCUCCCAGAUAGCCCAAGACGCCUAGCCCUUGCCACACCCCCACGGAACACAGCAGUGAUUAACCUUAAGCCAUGAGCCACUAAACUUAAAGCUCGACUUAGGUAUAGAUCGCCAGGGUCGGUAAACCCCGUGCCAGCCACCGCGGUUACACGGCGGACCCAAACUAACGCACUACGGCGUAAAAUGUGACUAGAACUAGUACUAUCGAGGACUAAAAAUUAGGCUACUGAUAUAAAAUACACGUAUCCUAAUGAACCAUUACCAAGUCCUCAAAACAAAUAAACCUUUUGACCGCACGAAAGCUAUGGCACAAACUAGGAUUAGAUACCCUACUAUGCUUAGCAGUAAACCCAGGCAGCCCAUAAACCCAUCCGCCCGCCAGAGUAUUACAAGUGAAAAACUUAAAACUCAAAGGACUUGACGGUGUCCCACAUCAGCCUAGAGGAGCCUGUUCCAUAAUCGAUGACCCACGUUUAACCUCACCUGCCAUUGCAACCCCAGCCUAUAUACCGCCGUCCUCAGCCAACCUUGCAAAAGAACUAGCAGUUGGCCCAAUAGUUUAUCACUAGAACGUCAGGUCAAGGUGUAGCUAACGGGCAGGAGGAGAUGGGCUACAUUUUCUAACACAGAAACCCCGACCUACGCAUGAAAACUGCGCCAUGAAGCUGGAUUUAGCAGUAAACCAGACAAGAUGUGUCUGAUUGAACUAUGCCCUGGGACGCGUACACACCGCCCGUCACCCUCAUCAACACUAAAUGCUUAAUCUAACUAAAUACUUCAAUAAACCAAGAUGAGACAAGUCGUAACAUGGUAAGCGUACUGGAAAGUGCGCUUGGACAACA
rnacentral:ncRNA from 1 species